rnacentral:rRNA from 1 species
UACGUAGGGCGCAAGCGUUAUCCGGAAUUAUUGGGCGUAAAGAGCUCGUAGGCGGUUUGUCGCGUCUGCCGUGAAAGUCCGGGGCUCAACUCCGGAUCUGCGGUGGGUACGGGCAGACUAGAGUGAUGUAGGGGAGACUGGAAUUCCUGGUGUAGCGGUGAAAUGCGCAGAUAUCAGGAGGAACACCGAUGGCGAAGGCAGGUCUCUGGGCAUUAACUGACGCUGAGGAACGAAAGCAUGGGGAGCGAACAGG